rnacentral:rRNA from 1 species
AAAAUGACGGUAUCUUAUGAAUAAGUCCCGGCUAACUCCGUGCCAGCAGCCGCGGUAAUACGGAGGGGACAAGCGUUAUUCGGAAUCACUGGGCGUAAAGGACGCGUAGGCGGGUUAUUAAGUCGGGUGUGAAAUCCAAUGGCUCAACCAUAGAACUGCAUUGGAAACUGUCAAACUAGAAUACUGAAGGGGCAGAUGGAAUUAGUGGUGUAGGGGUAAAAUCCGUAGAUAUCACUAGGAAUACCGAAAGCGAAAGCGAUCUGCUGGGAAGUUAUUGACGCUGAGGCACGAAAGCGUGGGGAGCAAACGGGAUUAGAUACCCCGGUAGUCCACGCCCUAAACGAUGAAUGCUAGUCGUCGGAAAGCUCGUCUUUUCGGUGAUGCAGUUAACACAUUAAGCAUUCCGCCUGGGGAGUACGGUCGCAAGAAUUAAAACUCAAAGGAAUUGACGGGG